rnacentral:rRNA from 1 species
UACGAAGGGGGCUAGCGUUGUUCGGAUUUACUGGGCGUAAAGGGCGCGUAGGCGGUCGUGACAAGUCACUUGUGAAAUCUCCGGGCUUAACUCGGAACGGUCAAGUGAUACUGUCGGACUAGAGUACAGAAGGGGCAACUGGAAUUCUCGGUGUAGCGGUGAAAUGCGUAGAUAUCGAGAGGAACACCUGCGGCGAAGGCGGGUUGCUGGGCUGAUACUGACGCUGAGGCGCGAAAGCCAGGGGAGCGAACGGG